CCCAUUUAUCAAAAAGGAAACAAGUCACGCACAAACAUCAAUCCCUUCUCCUUCGCUGGCUCCUUGAAUUACGCCUCGCCCCAAGGGACCCCGACGGACCUGCAACGGCAGGGACGCGAGAGCAGCAACCUGCAGCAUGGCCGUCCGAGCCGUGUUCAUGGUGAAGGGCAGGCGGUGGAGAUGUGAAGUCCAGGCACUGUUCAAGGUACGCACCGAAGCCAUUGCUCAUUCAUAUAAUUUUUGGAUUCCAAUUCUUUGAUCCUUGUCUGUUUAUCUCAAGACGGUGCUACAUCCUUUAUUAGAAGAUAUUUUUGCGUCUAUUAUAGGGGCCCAUUAGAUGAAGCUCGCACAAGGGCCUCUAAGAUCUUAGGGCCGGCCCUGCAAGUUCUAGAACCAGUUCUGCAUAUUUUUCAAGUUCAGGCAUCAAAGUGAACAUUCAUGACAAGUUUAAGCACCACUCAUGAUAUUACCUCUUAACUUUACUAUCCAACAUACCCGUUUUCUUCUCAAGAUGGUCUUUGGUAUCUGCCACACUCCUUGUUAAGAAGUCUAAGGAAAUGCAUUGCAAUACGAAGAUAUUUGAAUAUAAAAGAGCCAGGCUCACAACCAAAGAGUUGUUUGUAAUAAUCCCCUUCCUCUUUUGCUUGUCUAAAGUAGAAGAGUUCACUCUUGCGGAAGUUAUCUUUACACCAGGCAAUAGUUCGAAGAGACAGAGAAUCAAUUCAUGUUUUUGGCCUUCUCAUUAUCAUGUUCCAUAAAGAUGGUACUGUCAUCAGCAUAUUGCAGGACCUAUAGUCCACCAUCCACUAGAUGUAGAAUAAGACCCAUCACAUGACCUGCUUCCUUAGCUCGGCUGAUAAGCAUUGCUAGAAGCAGGGCCGGCCCUGAGGGGGGGCAGGGGGGGCGGCCGCCCCAGGCCCCCGGGUAGGAAGGGGCCCCCGAUUGAUUUGGUUUCCCUAUAUACGUGUGAUUGUUUAGCGGUCGAUUGAUUCUCCAAAAGGAAACAAAAAUUAAUUGAUGGAUUAGCACGCCGUGCAGUCUUCUCCGCUUAAUACUCUUUCUACCCAAUUGGCAACAAAUCAGCCAUGCCAUGAAUGACGGCGCCCCGCCCACUCGUCUAAUUGUAAUUUUUGGCUGCUAGGCGCCAUUAGUGGAAGAAG